UUUUUUUUUUUUUUUUUACUUGGUAAGCACUUGAAACAGCUCUAAAAAUGAAACCAUCAGGAAAACAACUGCGACUGAGAGUGGCAGAGUAACUUUGAACUCCUCCACAAGCCAGUGUCAUCAUCAGGACUAUGCACAAAACAAGAAAUCCUUCCACUUUCAUUUCUUCAUCUCUCAAAUCAACCAGAAAAUUAAACCUCAGGUGCACAACUUAUAUAUUGAAUAUGCAGAUUGCUAAUGCUAGCAAAAAACCUGCUACUUUCUCACUCUACCCAAGAACUAGCUAGGCAGCACUUAAUUUUAAUUAAUAUCCUACUUGAUAUCGUAUUAUUAUAUAAUAUAAUAAUACAAUGGUUUGUCACAUGUGUGUGAAUUCAUUCAAAAUUCUUCUCCUAAACUUUUUACCUUUUUUUUAGUUAUAUAUGUCAG
rnacentral:misc_RNA from 1 species